GCCAGCGUCCCCAUACAUUGCUACAAAGUCCAUCUUGGCCUACAUGAAUGGAGAGAUGGAGUGUGGAUCAGAGGAGCUAACUCUGCUGUCCUCUGUGCUGGCUUCUUGGUCUGGAACCUCAUAAUUCACCUGUCGAUUACACUAUAGAAAGAACCUUGAAAACGAAUCCAAGAGACAGUGAUGAACAUUUUGAGGAAUCUAGAAACCAUGCUGCACGGAGGCGCUGCCCUUCUCGGAAGGUUAAAAGCUAAGCCGGCUCUGUAGGAAGCAGCUCCAGUGUUUAGCCAAGUCUGGUGGAGUCAUUUGCCCUGCCUCCGUGCAGUGAGCUUGAGUCGGCACUUUUCCACUCUGCGGAUGGGAAGCGUGGCAGUAAACUGGCAGGCUAGUCUGAUGGCACCGAGCAGGGCUUUGGAGGCUGACGUUCACACCACAGCAUCUUCAAGACCCACAGCCUUUUCAUGCAGAUACGCAGGAAUAAGACUCCUUCCCCGUGCCUUACCCGGCAGAUUCUACAGGAAAGAGAAAAGCAGAAGGAAAAGAACACUGGUGUUGAAUUUACUAAGAAAAGUCCUGUUUUCUUCACAACAUAUUUUACAACGUACGGUUACGUCACUGUCGUUGACCUGUGAGCAUUUUUCCAUGCCCAUGGCCCCUACGAGGCUGCAAGCUCCCUGAGGACAGACAGGAGCCAGCCCUCAAGCUCCCUGAGGACAGACAGGAGCCAGCCCUGUUCGUUAGGUCUGCAGAGUCUCAUAUUGUGCUCAUACUGUUGC